UUUCUUAACCUCAUCCUUCAAGUCCUGUAUCUUAUGACAGAGAAAACAUACUAUUCUUGGCGUGAAAAGGAGAAAUUUUCUUCCUGCCAAAUUAUCCCCUUUAUUUUGCCACCAAAGGCUUUGCCUUCCAUAGCCUUUCAAUUAGGAGAGAAAAGAAAAUAUUUGGGACUAAUGAAAAAGGCAAAGGUUUUAUCCUCCUUCUCACAUCACCUCAGGCCUUUAAGGCCCUUCAGUUGAGAGUUGAGAUGACAAAGGAGGAAUGUGCUUCUUGCCAGUCAAUCUGCCAUGUAUUUUUCCACCUUGGGUCUUCGAGGCCUUUUACUGGAUGGUGGAGACGGACUCACUGGAGUUCAAAACAGAGAGACUAGCUCCAUGCGCAUUCUAACUGGCUCCAUGCAGAUAGCUAACUGUGCGUCCUCCCGAACUGUCUUCAGGCUCCACCCCUGGUCUUUAUGGCUUGGGCUGUUGCAGAGAGCACAGAGGUAGGAAUGUAGGUGAAGAGCUUCAUGCUAAUCCCCAACCCCAUAAUCCCUGAAAGGGUUUUCACUUUGUCCUUCCACUCUGCCUGCUCUUCCCUCGCAACCUUGGACCAAGUCAACAAACCACUCUGUGGCACCUAACCAGAUUCAGCAUCCUAAGAGCUGAGAUGGUUUGGUGUGGGAAUGAUGGAGAAUGAAACAGGGCCAGCUAGCACUACUCGAGAAAAGCUCCAUUUCCUCCAUCGAGUGUUCACCUCUAGAAGAGUAGAGAAUGAAGGAAAAUCAAAUGAUGGUUGGGUUUGGAGAAAAUCCGGCUACCGGUUAAGAGAAAACUGUUCUGGACCCGAGGUUCAGUCUCGAGCCUCUGGUCCAGGAUGUUAGAGGGUGAUAAAAGAAAAUUUGAGGUGGAGGAGGAGAGGUUUUGCAUCAGCCAAAUUCUUGCCAAACUUAACUUUAUGCAAAACAGCCUCUCCUCAGAUGAUCUCUUGUCUUGGGUCUUCAAGGCCCUGGAGGGAGUCGGGAGAAAGUAGCUUCAGGCAAAAAGCUCCCCUUUGGUACAUCAACUCCCAUCCUGGCUACUCUGGCCUUUGUGGUGGGUGGUGGGGAAGGGGGGAAAUCUCCAAAGAAUCUGUACAGGGCAAACGGGAGAUUCUCUUCAUGCAGAAUCUCCUGAAAAACAUGGUCCAGCUAUGCAAGAAAUCCCCAGUUAGCCUUUAUGGCUGCACUUCUGGACCAAGAAAUUAUCCUCACUGAUGGUCUGGGAUAUUUCUCUUGUGAGCCUUCUGGGUUUCAGAGAGGUUAGAGCUGAACCCAUUUGACCUUAGAGCCUCAUUUUCCAUGUUCGUAAACUGUCCAGUUUGAUAGGGAAAUACCUUUCAAAAUUCUAUAGUGUUAUGUCAGGACUACAAUUUCAAACCUGCAUGACAAAAGCACAACAGAGAGAACUCCUUGUCCUCCUCUAAGUCCUGAUUGACCAACUCAGUGUUCAAUGGAAUGUUAUGUUUCUCUCACUCAAAGCAUAUGAAACUACUAAAAGAUUUAUGCAGUCCAUCACACCAGCAUUUCAAAUGUCAAUAAAAUAGCUAAAUAAAAUAAAAAUAAACAUAAAACACAACUAAAGGUAGCACAAUAAAAUACGAUAAAAUAGUUUAAAAUAAAAAUUAAUACUAAAAUAAUUAACAUAUAAAAUGACAUAUAAAUCCAUGCAACACUCAUUCCAUUGAACAUAGACGUUUGGGAUAUCUUAGGACAAAAAAAAUACCAAGCACUGAAAGGCCAAAAAUUGGUGAGGUCUAUCUCUCUGCAUUUUCUACCGUGAUUAGAUGAAUGUCUUUAUGAAUGCAAACUGACUAUAACACUAUAGACGCCCCCAAAACCUCACGGGAGAAUUCCGUCCAAUUUCCAAGCAAUUUUACCUCAUACACUUUUGUUUUAAGAAUGCCUGUCACACUGAGUAUUUUGUUCUCAAGGUUUUAAACCUGUACAGAUUUGGGGGGCUCCUACUCCCAGCUGGAUCUUGGAUCUGUGGUAGGCACCGGUAGGAGCAGAGGUAAGUGCCGGGGGGCCCGAAGGUAGAAAUGCACUAAUUCCCAUGAAGGGUGGGUUUGAGGGAUAUCCUCAGGGUGGCCCUGGGAGCUGGCAAGUGUCACCAUGAUGAAUGUCAGUUUAUUUACACCUGCCUUUGCUUUUCUACUUCCAAAU